rnacentral:rRNA from 1 species
AUUGAACGCUGGCGGCAGGCCUAACACAUGCAAGUCGAACGAGGGGAGGAGGGUGGAGGAAUGGCGGGGAAACUGCGGGAUGGCGAGGGAUAAGUAGGGGAAACGGUAGCGAAUACCGCAUACCAGGGGAUGUGCGCAGAUGGGAUUAGCUAGUAGGUGGGGUAACGGCUCACCUAGGCGACGAUCCCUAGCUGGUCUGAGAGGUUGACCAGCCACACUGGAACUGAGACACGGUCCAGACUCCUACGGGAGGCAGCAGUAGGGAAUCUUCCGCAAUGGGCGCAAGCCUGAUGCAGCAAUGCCGCGUGUGUGAAGAAGGCCUUCGGGUUGUAAAAUACUGUCGUCGGGGAGGCGUUACCUGCCCAGAAAGCCCCGGCUAACUCCGUGCCAGCAGCCGCGGUAAUUC